GACGAACGCUGGCGGCGUGCUUAACACAUGCAAGUCGAACGGGCCUGUCUUCUUUUUUGGGGGUGGGUUGAGUGGCGAACGGGUGAGUAUCACGUGAGUAACCUGCCCUUCGGUCCUGGAUAACCGCUUGAAAGGGCGGCUAAUACGGGGUGGUCCGGUUGGUCCGCAUGGGCUGGUCGGGAUAGAUUCACUGUUUUUGGUGUUUCGGCGGGGGAUGGGCUCGCGGCCUAUCAGCUUGUUGGUGGGGUGAUGGCCUACCAAGGCGGUGACGGGUAGCCGGCCUGAGGGGGUGGGCGGCCACACUGGGACUGAGAUACGGCCCAGACUCCUGCGGGGGGCAGCAGUGGGGGGUAUUGCACAAGGGGCGGAAGCCUGAUGCAGCGACGUCGCGUGAGGGAGGGAGGCCUUCGGGUUGUGAACCUCUGUUUCCGGUGGUGAAGGCCCUGUCCGUGUGGUGGGGUUGACGGUAGCCGGGGAUGAAGCGCCGGCUAACUACGUG
rnacentral:rRNA from 1 species